UACGUAGGGGGCAAGCGUUGUCCGGAAUUAUUGGGCGUAAAGAGCUCGUAGGCGGCUUGUUGCGUCGACUGUGAAAACCCGCGGCUUAACUGCGGGCUUGCAGUUGAUACGGGCAGGCUAGAGUUCGGUAGGGGAGACUGGAAUUCCUGGUGUAGCGGUGAAAUGCGCAGAUAUCAGGAGGAACACCGGUGGCGAAGGCGGGUCUCUGGGCCGAUACUGACGCUGAGGAGCGAAAGCGUGGGGAGCGAACAGG
rnacentral:rRNA from 1 species